rnacentral:lncRNA from 1 species
GCUGGGGAGAAAUUCUUUGGAGUGUUCUCUUAUUAAAGAACAGAAAAUGAUGAUAGCUACACUUUUAGGAGGCUACACUGAGGUUAUGAAACUAAAAUGAGCCAAAGACAGAAAAGACAGAAUAAAAGUAACAAUUCAAAGCACUGGAAUGAUUAGUUUGGAGAAUCAUGAUACUGACAGGCUACAGUAUGCCUAAGCUAUGCUUAGUUUUCACUGCAUUUGAAUAUAGUAAAGACCAUUAGGAAGGCAUCAAUGAGUGAUUUCCUAUGCCUAGAAAAUGGAACUGGAAGAAUCAGGUUAUGUAGCAGGAGGCACAUCCAGCACAUGAGAAACACCUGGCUACCUCCAAAGACACCAGACGUGGCCACACUAUACCAGGGUGGGAGGGGACUUCAGUCGUGCAGAUCUCUAAAGACAUAAUAAACUAGCCAAUUGUAAAAUAACUUCUCUGAGAAACAUUAUUUUUAAUAGUUUCUUCAGGUCAUAUUAUUCUGUCAUUAGAAUUGAAAUAUUACCAGCCUCAAGAUGUAUAAUUGUCAUCCUUCUAAAACAUACAACAUAUAGAUGAGCUGAAUAUGUGAGAAUCAUUUUUAGAAAGUCAAGAUAUUUUGCUUAAAGCUAUGUCGCUAACCUCAACUCAGUUUUGGAAGGAGACAUGGUAGAAAUUACAAAUAAUUAUGCAAUUACUAUCUCUGCACAGCUUUCUGUGGGGUUUGGGUCAUUUGUAAGAUUGUUCCUUUAACAAAUGACUUCACCAAGUAUCAUGUUACCUAUAAGCUCCAGUAGAAUGAAACCUCGCUGCAUUGGCGAAGAAGCCGGAGACAAUGCACCUCAGAACCAGAUCCGGGUCACCUACAUAGGCAGCCAACAGAGAGGCGGGUGAAACCCUUGCCUGCCCUAGGCUCCGUGUGCUCUAAUGCACAGGAUCCACUCCCAGCACCACCCCAGGCUGCUUCAAGACACCUGGAAACCCUCUCCUGAAAUGGCUCCAGCCCUACCCUUCCCAAUGCUGGAUGCCUGCCCCAGCACCAUCUAAGGAGGUCCCACUCCCCACAACUGCUGCUGACAACAAUGCUGGUCUGCUCCUUGAACCUGGGACCCCUCCAACCUCCCCUAAGCCACAGAUGACUGGACCAUGGCUGGGCACCAGAACCUAAGAGUGCUGCUCUGCAGGCUGGUCAGUGACCUCAGAACUCCUUUGUAAAAGAGUGUCAUAUGGCAACAAUGUUCUUUCUAUAAAACACAAACUGGAGAUAGUAUACAACGUUACUUCUGUGGUUAUGAGCUAGUGUUUGAAAAUUGAAGUAAUUCUUCAAAUUUUUCAAAUGUUCCAUUUUAACUGGUGUUUCUAUUGCUACAGCUAACAUCUUCCAUGAAUAAAGCUUCCCCACUAUUAGAUGAUGUCCAUAGGAUACAUUCCAAAUUGUUGUGCAAAAGGCUAAUGUUAUUUUUAUGGUUAAUGACAUAUCACAUCUCAUCAAUUUUAAGACUCGCUCUUUUUCUAACUUUAAUUCACUGAAAUUAGGACAGCAUUUUACAAUGAUAACUGGCAGCAUUUUUUUUCUUUGGUGACACAUAAAAUAACGAUGUUUCUUACACAUGAUGGUAUCUUAGAUCCAAUGGAAUAAAGCAUGUUGGUAAGUAAGUUCCAUAAAGGUGGUACUAUUUCCAAAGCCAUCAACAAUAUAUAAAAAUGGCAGUUUCACUGCAUUCUUACUAGCAAUGUUUUGGCAAAAAGUGUUACCUUCUGUUACCUUCUUUUAUAUUACAUUUAUUUGAUUACUAUCGGCAUAUUUCUUCUUUUGUGAAUUUUUUGUUCUAAUCCUUAGCCCAUUUAUCAACCUGAAAACUGUUUUUUCCUAAAUAUAUUAAAUAAAAUCAUUCUAUAAUAAAGUUUUUAAUCUUUAUCAUUUAUCUCAUGACUGCUGAAAGUAUCUUUCACUAAUUGCUUUCUAUUUUUUAACCCUUAGAUGUUUUAAAUUUGCAUGUAAUUUAUUUAGUCUCCAUGAUUUUCUGUAUUUUUCCUAAGCACUGAGCUGAUAAAAUCUCAAAUCUACAUGUCUAAAUAUGAUCUAAUCCGAUAUCCAGUCUCUUCUCUCCUAUUGUCCAUAAGAAAUUUCCAUGUAAAAUAUGCACUCUAAACAGGGGUGAUAUCACUUCCAAAGGGGUGGAAACUGGUUCUUGGAGGCAGGGGGAGGGGAGCAUCUUAGACACUACAAUGGCCGGUAGCCCUCCAAAGCUCAAUCCUACCCUACAAAAUCUUAUUCCUUAGUAUUUAAUUUCUCAGGCUGGGUAGAAUUUAAAUUUAACUUUUCUCCUGGGCAGGGGUCUGAUAAUGAAACACAGGUGAAGAACACCAAUUGCUGAAGUAAGGCUGUCAUCUACCUGCUGGGUGACAGGCGUUUGACGAGCUGCUCUCCAACUAGGUGCUCCUUGUAAGCAUCCUGUUUCUAUCAAUGACUCCAACAUGGCUCAAUGGCCCAGGUUUCAACUCUUCCCUCUCUCGUGAGUGUAUUCACCCAUCAAAUAUUCUCUGAGCGUCUCAUAUACUCCUCACUCCAAGCACUUGUCUCCAGUCCUCCUUCCCUAGAGUGCUCUUUGCCACCAUUUUCUAAUUCAACCAGACCCCAAAGCUUGACCGGACUCCCACCACACCUCAAGGAAGCUGAAAGACUUCCCAAGCUAGCCCUCUCUGGAUUCCUUCUUCCCGGCAUUCCUUCCACAUCUGCCAGCACGUCUUCUAUGAUUACUAAAGUAUCUACUACUUUAACUUCGAAGAGGACUGAUAAUCUUAGUACUUUGUCUAUCCAUAUGAAUCUCUCCCUUCAUUACACUGUUCCCUUAGAGUAAAAGCCAAGACUCCGUCAUUGUUUAAUCACUUGCUCUUAGUAUAAAGACAAAAGAAGACUUAAAUGGAACCGCCUGGGCUCAGGUUCUGACUCCAUCAUACCCUCACUGUGUAACUUCAGCAAGUUACAUUUUACCUCUUAGCCACGCUUUUCUCACCUAUAAGAUGGGGAAAAGAGCACACGUUUCACAGCGUUGUUGUGAGCAUUAAAUUAAUAAACACAUGGAACACUCAGUGCACUGUCUAGCCACUUAUAAGCACUCAGGAAAUGUUACCAAGUACUAAUGGUGCUGAGGAUGUGGCUGAGUACCUGGCACACUAGGCUUUCAGGCUGACUGCUGAGGCGGGUGUGUCACUUCCUUAAAAGCGUAGACUUCUGAGCCACAUACAGAUCUGGCUCUCCUCCUUACCAGUUGCGUGGUCCUGAAUUUAAUCUACCUUCUCCCUAGGAUCUUACGACUAAUUGUAAAAUGAGGAUAACAUUACCGACACCUCACAGAGUGCGAGAUUGAGCAAGAGAAUAUUUGGAGAACCCCUGCCACAGCGUAACCUACUGUGUCCCUGAUUAAUAGUAGUCACUGUCACUGCUAGAGGCCAGAGACUACGUCUUACAUAGUACUUUUCUGUCUUACCUUUAGUGGCUGCCUAGGCUAAAUAUCCAGCACUUGCUUUAAUAAUACUUGUCUUUGAAUAUAAAAUUUAAUUUUUAUGUAAUAGCUACUAAUAUCACUGAUCAAAAAGUAAUUUUUCUUGCAAAGCCUACAUGGGAAAAUCAAUGACAUGAUGUGCACUGAUGUGACUGUUAGUGAUUCUUAAGUAUUGUCAUGGGCUAUGAAAUUCCUUUAGUAAGAAUGCCCAUCAGAAAGAAAAAUAGACCUCCUUGGAAAAAAUACGCAACUUGACCUUCAGCUUUUCACAGAUGCAGGCAACUCAAAAUAUAAAACCCAGUGUUGGUACAGAGCACGCCACACUGCCUCGCACCAGCCCAGCAUGAGAACUUUAGGAAGACAACUCAACAGAAUGAAGCAAGGGAGGUCACCAGCUGGGACGGUUUCUUCUCACCUUCACUAGACUUCCUGGGCACUUGAAACUUGACAAGAAGCUUUUUCAAUUGUUCUCUUACAGUCGCAGCUCUGACAAGACCCUUGUAAUUCAGGAAAUGUUCCUGACACCAUUUAGAGUCCUUAUUGUGCUACAGAACAACCCAGAGAGAGGGAGUUAGAAAACAGAUAUGUUCUCGACUAAGGCUAUGUUGUAAAGAUCAUUCUUCUCUCUUCCCCCAUGUGCUGUUCAACGGCAUAAGAUCUAAAGAUGGGAACUGGCCCUUUUUUGCCCCAUCUCUCAAAACAGAUGUUAACAACCUUGCACACAUCUGACUGCUCUGCAACCUCACUCUUUACACUAAAGGGCAAAUGAGAACUUAAUGACACGCAGAAACGGUUUCAAUCUUACAUACCUUCAUGAGAUGUGAACUAUCAGAAAGAACCAUUUCUCCACGUGGUUCUUUGUAAAUCAACUUUUCUUCUUUGGCAUGCUUGAAUGUAUCACUUUAUUAUACUAGAAGCCAACAAUAUGACACUUGCCAAUGUAGAAAUAAUUUACAAAUUACUAUUAUUUGUCCCCAAAGCAUGAUUUUUCUAUCAACAGUAUUUAAUUUUUUCUGCAUUCAUAAGUAUGAUCAUUAUGUCUUAGAGUAAAUUAUUGCUGUGGAAAUGUACCUCUGAAAUUCUAUUGUAAGUUAAAGUGCUUUAAAAAAGAAAAUGUAAUUAAUAGAAGAUAUUCCAAGAAGGCAACCAUAGAAUAAUACAAUGUAGACCUAUACCCACUUUCUAGUGGUAGAGAAAGCUUCAGACUGCAGAUGAUACAUUGUGCCUGUACAAAUGAAUUUUAACUGAUUUAAGCCGUAAGUCUCAAAAAGAGUGAAUUUCUUUUUUCUGAAAACUUUUCACCAACUGAAUAAUCUUCCUCAAAUCACUGGUAAACAAAAAUUUAGUAUUUCUUCACUUCUAAAAGAGUAUUUAAGAAAUGAGUAUUAAAAAUCUGAAGUAUUAUACCCUUUCUUUUAUGUAAGGUUACUUUUUUCAUCAUUUUCAUCACCUUUAUUAACAAUUUUUCAUGAGAACUUUAAGCUGUAUUAUUUGCUUAGUUUUAAAGAAUAUUAACAAUAAAAAAUUAACAUCACUUAUAGCUAAAUAUGGGUGGGAUAUGUGAAUAUGCACAGAUCUCAACUAAAUGUCUUCUCAUGGCAGCUGGGACAGCUUUGAAGAUUCAACCCAGGACUACAAGUUGCUCUCAGCCUCAUUCACCUGGCAGAAAAUGUAACAGAACUUCCUAUUCAAAUGUUGCCUUUCUGUCUACUGCACAGUGGAUGUGAGAUGACGUGAGGCUGGGCCACUGGCCUGCCACUAGUGUACCAUAUCUCCAAGCAAGGGAAAGCAAUGAAUGAUUCCUGUGUUCUUCUCAGCAAUACCUCACCACAAACUCAGGCAGAAAGCCCGACCCACCAGUUAGAAGUACUGGCAAUAAAUCUAACAGGAAAAUCAAGGGCUCUCUUGGACAUUCCUUUACGAACUGAACUUCUGGGAUCCUCCCUCCUAGAUCACCUCCAGAGGGUGGUGUGUUGAGGCGGCACUUCGAGCAGUAGUUGUGCUUACUUUGAUAAAUGCUUCAUAUAUAUUGAGCAUAGUGAGGUGGUCGCCCUCCUCCACAGCAAAUUUACGGUGCACUCGAAUCUGGAAAGAAUGAAGCAACAUUCAGAAUUUCACUCUUUGCUGGGUGUGGUGGCUCACACCUAUAAUCCCAGCAUUUGGUGAGGCUAAGGUGGGAGGAUUGCCUGAACCCAGAAGUUCGAGACCAGCCUGGGCAACAUAGGUAAACCCCAUGUCUACAAAAGCUAAAAAAAAAAAUCAGCAGGGCAUGGUGGUGUAUGCCUCUAAGCCCCAGCUACUAGGCUGAGGUGGAAGGAUCGCUUGAGCCCAGGAGCCAUGUUUGCACCACUGCGCUCCAACCAAGGCAACAGGGCGAGACCCUGUCUCAAAAAAGAAAAAAAGAAAGAAAGAAAGAAAUUGACUUUUGCACUGGAAGUAAUAUUGCAUGGUGAAUAGCGUGUGGGUUAUGGAUUCAGAAAGACCUAGUUUGCAGCAUUCUAGCUCUGCCAUAUCUUGAAAGAACUCAGCUUGGUUACUUAACCUCUCUCAGCCUUGAUUUCCUUAUCUGUAAAAUCAGGAAACUAAACCUAUCAAGAUUGCUGUGGAUUAAGAUAAUUUAUUACAAGGUAUCUGGCAAAGAAAUUUGAUAAAAUGUUAGUGUUCUUGUCUCUCUCCUCCUCCAGGUUAAUUAAAAACAAAACUAAACAAAAACAGACAUAAGCAUCUGGGCACAGAGGCAGAAAAACUUUGUAAUCUAUAGUUAUACAACUGACAAGGAGGAUCCCAACAAUCCCUAAGAAAGUCUCUCUCCUCCUCAUUACACAUACAAAUUCAGCCCCUCCAUGCAUAAGGCUGCUAAUUCUCUGACUUUCAAACAGGAACUGACUUUGAACUCAUCUCUGACCUACCUCUAUCAACACACCUUACUUCUGAGUAUCUAUCUCUUCAGUAUCAAAACUUGUCCUUCCGUCUUUCCAGUGUUCACUCAAUUAGUCAUUGCUGAUGCCUGCACCUUAGGUGGGGAUUGGAUCUCUCUAGCUUAUAAUGGCCCACCUGCAACAUGACCAUGAUGUCGUGUGGUGCCCAGAAUCAGCCUGCUAUACCCUGGCACCUGACUUCUUAUGUCACUAAUGUGCCCACCAAGGUUUCUAGCAGAGCAGUCUGAAUGACAAUUUCCCUGACAGAAACUAGAAGUUGGUAGUUCAAUGGUUAAGGUGUGGGGCUCUGGACUGUGAAUCCAGAGCCAACAAUUCUGGCUGUGCAACUGUGAAUGAGUUACCUAACCUCUCUAUGCCUCCAUCUUUAAAAUAUGAUAAUAGGCCGGGCACGGUGGCUCACGCUUGUAAUACCAGCACUUUGGGAGGUCAAGGGCGGAUCACCUGAGGUCAGGAGUUCGAGACCGGCCUGGCCAAUAUGGUGAAACCCCAUCUCUACUAAAAAUACAAAAAUUAGCCGGGCGUGGUGGAGCACGCUUGUAAUCCUAGCUACAUGGGAGGCAGGAGCAUCACUUGAACCUGGGAGGCAGAGUGCAGUUGCAGUGGGCUGAGAUCACGCCACUGCAUUCCAGCCUGAGCAACAGAGCGAGACUUCCUCUCAAUAAAUAAAUAAAUAAAUAAAAUAUGAUAAUAAUAUCUACUUCCCAGGCUUAUAAUGAAGAUAAAGUGGAAUGAUGCCUGCAAAACACCUGACACAACAUCAAGCACGGAAUAAACACUCAAAACAUGAGCAGAUCACAUUUGUACAGCUCUGUCUUCAGCAGUUCCUGAGUACAGUUUUGACAACGAAAGCUCAAAGCAAAAGAGACUGGUACAGACAGCCUGGGGACAGAGCUGACUUACUGCGUGAGACUUCUGGUUUGGGGGGACCACAAAGAUAUUCUGGAUCUGCAU